rnacentral:tRNA from 1 species
AGGUUCUCGCCUCUAUCCAGGAACUCCUGAAAAGCUGCCGUUAAUCCAACUUUA